rnacentral:lncRNA from 1 species
GCGUCGGCACAGUGUGUGAUACAACAGUGCUUUGAAAACUGCGUCGGAGCCUCGGUACCAUCCGUCCCAUCACUAGAUAACGGUAAAUCAGCGUCUUUUCCGUUGUGUCUACUGCAGGAUGGAUAUAAAAGUAUAAAAUACGUUUUGGUUUGACAACAUCAUUCAUAUGUGAACUAUCACAAAGAAAUAACAAGUGUGAGAAAAGAGAAGUUCAUCAGGCGAGUUGGAGCGUUGGCUUUGUCGAGUCAUACAGUUUAGCGGAGCUAAGACCUGUGGGAGUGCUGGAGAAAUCAAGUGUACCAAGUACUCUGUCUCCUCAGCCAUGCAAGAGAUCUUCAGACAUGACGAGAUUGAGGAGUUAA